UCGAACGCACAGCGAAAGGUGCUUGCACCUUUCAAGUGAGUGGCGAACGGGUGAGUAACACGUGGACAACCUGCCUCAAGGCUGGGGAUAACAUUUGGAAACAGAUGCUAAUACCGAAUAAAACUUAGUGUCGCAUGACACAAAGUUAAAAGGCGCUUCGGCGUCACCUAGAGAUGGAUCCGCGGUGCAUUAGUUAGUUGGUGGGGUAAAGGCCUACCAAGACAAUGAUGCAUAGCCGAGUUGAGAGACUGAUCGGCCACAUUGGGACUGAGACACGGCCCAAACUCCUACGGGAGGCUGCAGUAGGGAAUCUUCCACAAUGGGCGAAAGCCUGAUGGAGCAACGCCGCGUGUGUGAUGAAGGCUUUCGGGUCGUAAAGCACUGUUGUAUGGGAAGAACAGCUAGAAUAGGAAAUGAUUUUAGUUUGACGGUACCAUACCAGAAAGGGACGGCUAAAUACGUGCCAGCAGCCGCGGUAAUACGUAUGUCCCGAGCGUUAUCCGGAUUUAUUGGGCGUAAAGCGAGCGCAGACGGUUUAUUAAGUCUGAUGUGAAAGCCCGGAGCUCAACUCCGGAAUGGCAUUGGAAACUGGUUAACUUGAGUGCAGUAGAGGUAAGUGGAACUCCAUGUGUAGCGGUGGAAUGCGUAGAUAUAUGGAAGAACACCAGUGG
rnacentral:rRNA from 1 species